rnacentral:rRNA from 1 species
UACGUAGGGGGCAAGCGUUGUCCGGAUUCAUUGGGCGUAAAGAGCGUGUAGGCGGCCAGGUAGGUCGGUUGUGAAAACUGGAGGCUCAACCUUCAGAGGUCGACCGAAACCAUCUGGCUAGAGUCCGGGAGAGGAGAGUGGAAUUCCUGGUGUAGCGGUGAAAUGCGCAGAUAUCAGGAAGAACACCCGUGGCGAAAGCGGCUCUCUGGAACGGUACUGACGCUGAGACGCGAAAAGCGUGGGGAGCGAACGG